CCUGUUUGAAACGUAAAACCUAAUGCUUUUGACACACACAAACACACACCCACCCACACACACACACACACACUUACAGAGGCACACACACACACACACACACACACACACGUACAAGCAUAAACACGCACAAGCACAAACGUGCACCAGCAUACACCGAGACGCACACACACACAUAAACACACACACCGACACAUACACACACCGACACACACAAAAACACACACACACAGAGAGGAUCCUACCGUUGGGUGAGCCAGUCGGGUCUUUGAGUUCUUUCUGCGCCUCCUCGAUUUUAUCUGCAACACAAGAACACAGGAGGGCAUGUUGUCACAAGGCAGCACUGGAGCAGGAGGAGGAGAAGGAGACAGACGUCCGCCAGACAGGAGGAGGAGAGGAGGACAGGAGGGGAGGAGGGGAGGAGGGGAGGAGGAGAGGAGGGGUGUUCUCAGCAGCUGAGUGCAGGCAGGAGAUGCUUCCCACUCGGAGGGUUGGAAGGGCUAAUGUGAACCAGACCUCCUCCUCCUCCACCACCUCCUCCUCUGUGCUGCUGGAGGGACGGAAGCGACAGAGCGCCAUGGAAACUAACCGGAGCACUGCACACACACGCACACACACACACACACACACACACACACACACACACACACACGUGCAUGCACAGACACACACAAACAAAUGUGCCUGCACAAACACACACACAUGGCUUCACACUUGCACAUGCACGCAAACACACAGACAAACAAACACUGGACUACAAAACAAGUAUGUCAACAUCACAAUUACACUAACACCACACGCGUGUGUCUGGGGUGGGUCUUUAUUUUCUUCCCUAAUUAAGAAAUAUUGUAUGACAAACCCAAUGGAUCAAUAGACACAGGAUCAAUGGUGUGUCAUUAUUAAAGUGGAACUUAACGGGCCUACACACACAUACUUUAAAUUAGGACACAAUCCCCUCAUGAUUAACGAAUGUGAUGGGACAAGCGAACGCUGACAGAUCAAUAACAGAUUCACUCAUUCAUUCCUUAUUGCUCUGGAGUUUAUUGGCCACCCGCAUGUGCACACACACACACACACACGCACAAAUCAUGACAUCAUCUUCUAAUACACAAAACGACGAAACACCUCCACAUAUGGUUCCCACAUUACCGCUGUGACCACCUGAUUACGUUUAAAUCUAUGUUGACAUGUUCUCUUGUUCGCCCGCGGGGAGCAGGUGAAUGAGGCGAGGAGGAGAGAGAGAGAGAGAAGGAGAACUCUGUGGGCCUGCCCCUGCUUCAAUUAUAUAAGCAUGUUCAAUGUGACAUGAUGCUGCGUGUGGAACACGUCAGAGAGAGGGAGAGCGAUAGAGAGGGUGUGGGAAGAUAGAACGCUGAAAGGGAGCAGAGAGGAGAGGAAAGAUAGGAAAGAGGAGAAGGAAGAGAAAGACGAAAAAAUGAGGGGGGGAAGUGAGGAGAUGCUAUAUAUAAUACAUAUAUAAAUAUGAGAGAGAGAGCAAGAGCGAGAGAGACGCUUUCACAGGCUGGCUGUGGGAGGAGGCAUGAGGGCCCACGUGCACACUCUUGGUUAGUGUGUGUGUGUGUGUGUGUGUGUGUGUGUGUGUGUGUGUGUGUGUGUGUGUGUGUGUGUGUGUGUGUGUGUGUGUGUGUGUGUGUGGUUUGUCUGCGUGUCAUUACACAUGCAUGCACCUGUGUCUACUUGCUCAUGGAAAAACACAAACAAACACACACGCACGCAAACACAAACUCGGACACACACCCCACACACACACACAUGGGUGGUCAGUACAAGGCAGAGCCUCUGAUACAUAGAGUCCCCCCCCCCCACCCACCCACGGAAACUCCAGGAUAUGGAAAAACAGACCCGCUUUACACAAAGAAAACCCUACACAGUCUGGUCCAGGUCUGGUCCAAGUCUGGUUUUAAUCUGGUCCCAGUCUGGUCCCUGCCUGGUUUCAAUCUGGUCCCAGUCUGGUCCCUGCCUGGUUUCAAUCUGGUCCCAGUCUGGUCCCAGUCUGGUCCCGGUCUGGUCCCAGUCUGGUUUCAAUCUGGUCCCAGUCUGGUUUCAAUCUGGUCCCAGUCUGGUCCCAGUCUGGUUUCAAUCUGGUCCCAGUCUGGUUUUAGUAGGGUCCCUGCUAGCUCCCUGCUAUCUCCCUGCUAGUUCUCUGUUAGCUCCCUGCUGUCUCCCUGCUAGCUCUCUGUUAGCUCCUUGUUAGCUCCCUGGUAGUUCUCCCAGUUCAAUCCCAUCCAGGACGCCCCCCUUGUGGGAUUUUCCUCAUUUUUUUCAGAUCCUUAAUGUGCUGCCGGGAAUAGAGGGGGGGUUUGGGGAGGGGAGCCCGGGAACGAGGUCAGUGGGUGAUGUCAUCCUGAGAGUGUGUUGGUGGAAUCACACCCUGGACUGUGUGUGUGCGUGUGCACGUGCGUGUCUCUCCCCUGUGGGUGUACAUGCGUGUGUACACUACACCUCUCUCUCUCUCUCUCUCUCUCGU
ensembl:lncRNA